UACGUAGGGGGCAAGCGUUGUUCGGAAUUACUGGGCGUAAAGGGCGCGUAGGCGGCACGGCAAGUCGGGAGUGAAAGCCCGGGGCUCAACCCCGGAGGGUCUCUCGAAACUGCCGAGCUAGAGUGCGGAAGAGGCAACCGGAAUUCCCAGUGUAGCGGUGAAAUGCGUAGAUAUUGGGAAGAACACCGGAGGCGAAGGCGGGUUGCUGGGCCGACACUGACGCUGAGGCGCGAAAGCCAGGGGAGCAAACGGG
rnacentral:rRNA from 1 species